CCCCCUCUUCCAAACUCUCAAAAUACGUCACAGCAGGUACUUGAAAGAGAUUCGUCAGCACUUUAAAAGAGCCAAGAGGAUCUGCGAGUUUAGUAACAUCGCUGGGUCUACCAGAUCGCACUGCUAUUUCAUCGAAUAUUUCAGCGUUGAAGACAUGGACAGCAUCUUCCCCAAAUACCUCCUUCUGGGGCUUGCUGCUGCACUUGUUGCGCUCAUCAUCGCACCAAACAGUGCCAGCGCCAUUCCUCUUGGAGUAGUCGAAAAUGCCGCUAAUGCACUUUCACAGGCAUUUGGAAGAAACGAGCGAAAUUCUGAAGAGUGAAACAUUUACCCGAGUUCUACUUUGAGGUGAUCCCACGAUGCAUUAUAUGCAGCUUCUUUGAAAUAAAAUCAAUGAAGCAGAAAA